rnacentral:rRNA from 1 species
UGGGGAAUUUUGGACAAUGGGGGCAACCCUGAUCCAGCCAUGCCGCGUGCGGGAAGAAGGCCUUCGGGUUGUAAACCGCUUUUGUCCGGGAAGAAAAGAUCUCUCCUAAUACGGGAGGUUCUUGACGGUACUGGAAGAAUAAGCACCGGCAACUACGUGCCAGCAGCCGCGGUAAUACGUAGGGUGCGAGCGUUAAUCGGAAUUACUGGGCGUAAAGCGUGCGCAGGCGGUUCGCUAAGUCUGAUGUGAAAGCCCCGGGCUCAACCUGGGAAUGGCAUUGGAAACUGGCGAGCUUGAGUGUGGCAGAGGGGGGUGGAAUUCCACGUGUAGCAGUGAAAUGCGUAGAGAUGUGGAGGAACACCGAUGGCGAAGGCAGCCCCCUGGGCUAACACUGACGCUCAGGCACGAAAGCGUGGGGAGCAAACAGGAUUAGAUACCCUGGUAGUCCACGCCCUAAACUAUGUCAACUGGGUGUUGGGGAAGCGAUUCCUCAGUACCGUAGCUAACGCGUGAAGUUGACCGCCUGGGGAGUACGGCCGCAAGGUUA